AUUGAACGCUGGCGGAAUGCUUUACACAUGCAAGUCGAACGGCAGCACGGACUUCGGUCUGGUGGCGAGUGGCGAACGGGUGAGUAAUGUAUCGGAACGUGCCCAGUCGUGGGGGAUAACGUAGUGAAAAUUACGCUAAUACCGCAUACGCUCUAUGGAUGAAAGCGGGGGAUCGCAAGACCUCGCGCGAUUGGAGCGGCCGAUAUCAGAUUAGGUAGUUGGUGGGGUAAAGGCCCACCAAGCCAACGAUCUGUAGCUGGUCGGAGAGGAGGACCAGCCACACUGGAACUGAAACACGGUCCAGAAUCCUACGGGAGGCAGCAGUGGGGAAUUUUGGACAAUGGGCGAAAGCCUGAUCCAGCCAUUCCGCGUGCAGGAUGAAGGCCCUCGGGUUGUAAACUGCUUUUGUACAGAACGAAAAGGUUUCUACUAAUACUAGGAGCUCAUGACGGUACUGUAAGAAUAAGCACCGGCUAACUACGUGCCAGCCGCCGCCGUAA
rnacentral:rRNA from 1 species